rnacentral:rRNA from 1 species
GAUGAACGCUAGCUACAGGCUUAACACAUGCAAGUCGAGGGGAAACGCCAUUGAAGCUUGCUUCGAUGGUCGUCGACCGGCGCACGGGUGAGUAACGCGUAUCCAACCUGCCUCUGACCAAGGGAUAACCCGUCGAAAGUCGGCCUAAUACCUUAUGCAGUCGUCGGAAGUCAUCUGAUGACGACGAAAGAUUUCAUCGGUGAGAGAUGGGGAUGCGUCUGAUUAGCUUGUUGGCGGGGUAACGGCCCACCAAGGCAACGAUCAGUAGGGGUUCUGAGAGGAAGGUCCACAAAAUUGGAACUGAGACACGGUCAAAACUCCUACGGGAGGCAGCAGUGGGGAAUAUUGGUCAAUGGGCGAGAGCCUGAACCAGCCAAGUAGCGUGCAGGAUGACGGCCCUAUGGGUAGUAAACUGCUUUUAUGCGGGGAUAAAGUGAGGGACGUGUCCUUCAUUGCAGGUACCGCAUGAAUAAGGACCGGCUAAUUCCGUG